rnacentral:ncRNA from 1 species
AUAUCGGUUUUUUAAGAUUAAAAGGGAAGCAGGUGCAAUUCCUGCGCAGUCUUGCUGCCGUUAUGAUGAGAAUGUUUUCACUGGUAUUUAAAAAGUGUAAGUUUUAAUACCAAGCCACUACACUGGGAAGGCGAAAACAAACUUUGACUCUUAGCCGGAAGACCUGCCGAUAUU